rnacentral:rRNA from 1 species
UACAGAGGGGGCAAGCGUUGUUCGGAAUUACUGGGCGUAAAGGGCGCGUAGGCGGCCCGCUAAGUCGAACGUGAAAUCCCCGAGCUCAACUCGGGAACUGCGUCCGAUACUGGCGGGCUUGAAUCCGGGAGAGGGAUGCGGAAUUCCAGGUGUAGCGGUGAAAUGCGUAGAUAUCUGGAGGAACACCGGUGGCGAAGGCGGCAUCCUGGACCGGCAUUGACGCUGAGGCGCGAAAGCGUGGGUAUCAAACAGG